rnacentral:rRNA from 1 species
CGACGUCUCAGGAGUAGUUCGUAUCCUGGCGUACAGGAUAACGCUGGACGGCGUGCCUAACACAUGGCAAGUCGAACGGAACUAGUUUUGUAAAGAUUUCUUCGGAAUGAAUUUGAUUAGUUUAGUGGCGGACGGGUGAGUAACGCGUGAGUAACCUGCCUUCAAGAGGGGGAUAACAUUCUGAAAGAAUGCUAAUACCGCAUGACAUAUCGGAACCACAUGGUUUUGAUAUCAAAGAUUUUAUCGCUUGAAGAUGGACUCGCGUCCGAUUAGUUAGUUGGUGAGGUAACGGCUCACCAAGACCGCGAUCGGUAGCCGGACUGAGAGGUUGAACGGCCACAUUGGGACUGAGACACGGCCCAGACUCCUACGGGAGGCAGCAGUGGGGGAUAUUGCGCAAUGGGGGCAACCCUGACGCAGCAACGCCGCGUGAAGGAUGAAGGUUUUCGGAUUGUAAACUUCUUUUAUUAAGGACGAAAAAUGACGGUACUUAAUGAAUAAGCUCCGGCUAACUACGUG